UACAGAGGUCCCAAGCGUUGUUCGGAUUCAUUGGGCGUAAAGGGUGCGUAGGCGGCGCGGUAAGUCGGGUGUGAAAUCUCGGGGCUUAACUCCGAAACUGCAUUCGAUACUGCCGUGCUUGAGGACUUGGAGAGGAGACUGGAAUUUACGGUGUAGCGGUGAAAUGCGUAGAUAUCGUAAGGAAGACCGGUGGCGAAGGCGGCAUCCUGGACCGGCAUUGACGCUGAGGCGCGAAAGCCAGGGGAGCAAACGGG
rnacentral:rRNA from 1 species